AUUGAACGCUGGCGGCACGCCUAACACAUGCAAGUCGAGCGGCAGCGAGACUAGUAGCAAUACUAGUUGUCGGCGAGCGGCGGACGGGUGAGUAACACGUAGGAAUCUGCCCUUAAGCGGGGGAUAACCAAGGGAAACUUUGGCUAAUACCGCAUAAUCUCGAGAGAGCAAAGCUGCCCGCAAGGGUGGCACUUGAGGCGGAGCCUGCGUCCGAUUAGCUAGUGGGUGGGGUAAUGGCCUACCAAGGCGAUGAUCGGUAACUGGUCUGAGAGGACGACCAGUCACACUGGGACUGAGACACGGCCCAGACUCCUACGGGAGGCAACAGUGGGGAAUAUUGGACAAUGGGGGCAACCCUGAUCCAGCGAUGCCGCGUGAGUGAAGAAGGCCUUCGGGUCGUAAAGCUCUUUAGGUUGGGAAGAAGGGUAUUGGCUGAAUAAUCCAGUACUUUGACGGUACCGACAGAAUAAGCACCGGCAAACUCUGUGCCAGCCGCCGCCGUAAUAC
rnacentral:rRNA from 1 species